GACUGAAAGUGCAUGUAUAUAUACAUAAUUUAAUAUGUAGUACUUGGUAAUAAAUAUAGUAGUCGUACUUUGAAUUGGAAAAAUUUGUAAAUAACACUGACAAAACGUGUCUGAACGAGCUGAUCUAUAAGAAAGGGAUGUUUAUAGAAUAACUGGAGAAACGAUAUAUUAAGAUGAGUUUUUAAUUUAAUACGAUAAAUUCCGUUUGAUUUAGCUAUUAUUUAUAUUUAUGAGAGCAUUUUUACAAUGUUUCCAAUUAUAAAUAGGUUUGCAAAUAAUCCCAGGCCAGCAUAGAGCUUUAUAUACGAAGCUUGCCAUCAACUCUUAAACAUGGUGUUAAAUAAAUCUAAAAUUUUUAUGAUAGUAAUGAUGGAGAGAGAGGGAAAAAGAGAGAUUAUAUUAUCCUGAGAUUUGAAGUUUUAUAUGUAAUUUCACCAGUACAUUUUCCAUAGGCGAAUGACACAAAAGAUUUGAAAUAUGCUUUUAUAAUUAUAAUUAUUUGAUAUAAGGUGUUGCACUCCCGUAAUAGAAAGGUUGACAAUAAAAUGAUCGUACAAGAUGUCGGCGUUCGCGUAAAUACUUCUUAUGAAGAGCACAAUUCAAUUGAUUUAACCAAAAAUAGAAUUUAAUGUUUUCCAUAGAAUCCUCCAUCAAAACUGUUUUAUUCUUUCGACCGUUACUUGCUGCGCUAUUCAAUUUUGAUCCCCUGAAAAGUACAAAAAUCAUUUCUUCCUCAUCUUCCCCUUAUCUCCCAUUUUUGUAAUGGUGUAGAUAUUAUAUCUAAAAGAUUUUACUGCAUAAUAUUCGAUACGAUUCUUUUUUCUUUAUCCAAUUUUAUUUCUUUUUGAUUUUUCGGCGUAUACAAAACACAUUCGUUGAUAAUUUGUGCUUCAUGGAUGCUAUCACAAUUAGAUUUUACUAUCGCACCUGUUCGUUUAGUAGUUUCAAAGUGUUUUCUACGAAAUAAUUUCUGCUUUUGACGAUAUUUAUCUUCCUGCUUUUUGCGUAUUUGUGCCUAAGUAAAAAACAAAAAAUAAAUAAAUAAAAUUGUUUAAUAAUAUUACGGGGAACUUGACAAAAAAAUUAUAGAAUGAAUUAUAAUCUACACCUGCCGUAUUACUUUCUUCCAUUUCAUAUUUGCCAAAUUUUCAAGUAACUUCCGCUGCCGUUCAGUUUCUAUUUUUCUAAGUAUCUGCUGAUAUAUAACGGUUUUUUUAUCUUUCCAGUCUUCGAAGGAUAACUUUC